CUGCGCCGUUUAGCAUGCAGUCGACGGCAAGGAGAGUAGCAAUACUUUCCCUAGAGUGGCGAACGGGUGAGUAACACGUAGGUGAUCUACCCCUGGAUGGGGGAUAGUCCGUGGAAACACGGGGUAAUACCGCAUGAGGCCUUGUGGGUAAAGCCAUGAGGUGAAAGCUCCAACUGGAGCGUCUGGGGAUGAGCCUGCGGCCCAUUAGGCAGUUGGCGGGGUAACGGCCCACCAAACCGACGAUGGGUAGCCGGCCUGAGAGGGUGUACGGCCACACUGGAACUGAGACACGGUCCAGACUCCUACGGGAGGCAGCAGCUAAGAAUCUUCCGCAAUGGGGGAAACCCUGACGGAGCGACGCCGCGUGGACGAUGAAGGCCGUAAGGUUGUAAAGUCCUUUUGCAGGAGAAGAAUAAGGGUGGGAGUGGAAAGCCCACCUGAUGACGUUAUCCUGCGAAUAAGCCCCGGCCAAUUACGUGCCAGCAGCCGCGGUAAUACGUAUGGGGCGAGCGUUGUUCGGAGUUAUUGGGCGUAAAGGGCGUGUAGGCGGCCCGACAAGUCUGGUGUGAAAUCGCAGGGCUCAACCCUGCGGGUGCGCUGGAAACUGUGGGGUGGGAGUCCCGGGGGGGGAAGCUGGAAUUCCUGGUGUAGGAGUGAAAUCUGUAGAGAUCAGGAAGAACACCGGUGGCGAAGGCGAGCUUCUAUUCGAGGACUGACGCUGAGGCGCGAAAGCGUGGGGAGCAAACAGGAUUAGAUACCCUGGUAGUCCACGCUGUAAACGAUGUGCACUACGCGUGGGACACGUCGGUGUUCUGUGCCGUAGCCAACGCGAUAAGUGCACCGCCUGGGGAGUAUGCUCGCAAGGGUGAAACUCAAAGGAAUUGACGG
rnacentral:rRNA from 1 species